GAUGAACGCUUGCGGGAGGCCUAACACAUGCAAGCCGAGCGGUAUUGUUUCUUCGGAAAUGAGAGAGCGGCGUACGGGUGCGGAACACGUGUGCAACCUGCCUUUAUCUGGGGGAUAGCCUUUCGAAAGGAAGAUUAAUACUCCAUAAUAUAUUGAACGGCAUCGUUUAAUAUUGAAAGCUCCGGCGGAUAGAGAUGGGCACGCGCAAGAUUAGCUAGUUGGUGAGGUAACGGCUCACCAAGGCGAUGAUCUUUAGGGGGCCUGAGAGGGUGAUCCCCCACACUGGUACUGAGACACGGACCAGACUCCUACGGGAGGCAGCAGUGAGGAAUAUUGGUCAAUGGGUGCAAGCCUGAACCAGCCAUCCCGCGUGAAGGACGACUGCCCUAUGGGUUGUAAACUUCUUUUGUAUAGGGAUAAACCUACCCUCGUGAGGGUAGCUGAAGGUACUAUACGAAUAAGCACCGGCUAACUCCGUGCCAGCAGCCGCGGUAAUACGGAGGGUGCAAGCGUUAUCCGGAUUUAUUGGGUUUAAAGGGUCCGUAGGCGGACUUAUAAGUCAGUGGUGAAAGCCUGUCGCUUAACGAUAGAACUGCCAUUGAUACUGUAAGUCUUGAGUAUAUUUGAGGUAGCUGGAAUAAGUAGUGUAGCGGUGAAAUGCAUAGAUAUUACUUAGAACACCAAUUGCGAAGGCAGGUUACCAAGAUAUAACUGACGCUGAGGGACGAAAGCGUGGGGAGCGAACAGGAUUAGAUACCCUGGUAGUCCACGCCGUAAACGAUGCUAACUCGUUUUUGGGCUUUAGGGUUCAGAGACCAAGCGAAAGUGAUAAGUUAGCCACCUGGGGAGUACGCUCGCAAGAGUGAGACUCAAAGGAAUUGACGGGGGCCCGCACAAGCGGUGGAUUAUGUGGUUUAAUUCGAUGAUACGCGAGGAACCUUACCAAGACUUAAAUGGGAAUUGACAGCUUUAGAAAUAGAGCUUUCUUCGGACAAUUUUCAAGGUGCUGCAUGGUUGUCGUCAGCUCGUGCCGUGAGGUGUUAGGUUAAGUCCUGCAACGAGCGCAACCCCUGUCACUAGUUGCCAUCAUUCAGUUGGGGACUCUAGUGAGACUGCCUACGCAAGUAGAGAGGAAGGUGGGGAUGACGUCAAAUCAUCACGGCCCUUACGUCUUGGGCCACACACGUAAUACAAUGGCCGGUACAGAGGGCAGCUACACAGCGAUGUGAUGCAAAUCUCGAAAGCCGGUCUCAGUUCGGAUUGGAGUCUGCAACUCGACUCUAUGAAGCUGGAAUCGCUAGUAAUCGCGCAUCAGCCAUGGCGCGGUGAAUACGUUCCCGGGCCU
rnacentral:rRNA from 1 species